rnacentral:rRNA from 1 species
UGGGGAAUAUUGCACAAUGGGCGCAAGCCUGAUGCAGCCAUGCCGCGUGUGUGAAGAAGGCCUUUGGGUUGUAAAGCACUUUCAGCGGGGAGGAAGGCGGUGAGGUUAAUAACCUCACCGAUUGACGUUACCCGCAGAAGAAGCAACGGCUAACUCCGUGACAGCAGCCGCGGUAAUACGGAGGGUGCAAGCGUUAAUCGGAAUUACUGGGCGUAAAGCGCACGCAGGCGGUCUGUCAAGUCGGAUGUGAAAUCCCCGGGCUCAACCUGGGAACUGCAUUCGAAACUGGCAGGCUAGAGUCUUGUAGAGGGGGGUAGAAUUCCAGGUGUAGCGGUGAAAUGCGUAGAGAUCUGGAGGAAUACCGGUGGCGAAGGCGGCCCCCUGGACGAAGACUGACGCUCAGGUGCGAAAGCGUGGGGAGCAAACAGG